rnacentral:tRNA from 1 species
GAGGGUAUAGCUCAAGUGGUAGAGCGCACGCUUAGCAUGCACAAGGUCCUGGGUUCAAUCCCCAGUACCCUCU